rnacentral:lncRNA from 1 species
UUCCUUUCCCUGGGCACCGAGGCCAUACAUAGUAGAUGCUGCCCCAGGGAUCAGCAGCAGCAUGAACUAGGAAAGGGACUGAAGAGAUGGACCACAAAAGGACCAGGCUCCUGUUCCCAGGAAGCAUAGUGCUUUUUGGAAGAGAAGAAAAGAGACUGAAUAGAGACGGUAUCAAGAGCUGUAAGGAGGCCUCAGUGGAGCUUGGAGUUGCUGGAAGGGCGUGGAUUCCAGGUUGAGAAAGGCCUUUGAGGACUCUGUGUAAACCUUGCAGGAUGAGAUCAGCCCACUGCACACCUACAUCGAGAGGUUGCGCUAGAAGAGCUAGCUGAGUGCCCAGGAGUUCUGAGUUAUCCUAGCAGAGCCCCGGAAGGAGGGAGCAGCAGGAGCUGAAGCCUGGAGGAUGCUGGGCCGGAUG